rnacentral:tRNA from 1 species
CAAAAUGUACUUUAAUUAAAACAUUUCGCUUACACCGAAAACAUAUCUGUUGAACUCAGAUCAUUUUGA